rnacentral:rRNA from 1 species
GGCGGACGGGUGAGUAACGCGUAAGAACUUGCCCUUUAGACUGGGAUAACAGAGGGAAACUUCUGAUAAUACUGGAUAAGUUAGUAUAUCGCAUGAUAUACAAAUGAAAGCUACGGCACUAAAGGAGAGCUUUGCGUCCUAUUAGCUAGUUGGUAAGGUAAGAGCUUACCAAGGCGAUGAUAGGUAGCCGGCCUGAGAGGGUGGACGGCCACAAGGGGACUGAGAUACGGCCCUUACUCCUACGGGAGGCAGCAGCU